UACAGAGGUCUCAAGCGUUGUUCGGAUUCAUUGGGCGUAAAGGGUGCGUAGGCGGCUUGUUGCGUCGGCUGUGAAAUCCCGUGGCUUAACUGCGGGUCUGCAGCCGAUACGGGCAGGCUGGAGUUCGGUAGGGGAGACUGGAAUUCCUGGUGUAGCGGUGAAAUGCGCAGAUAUCAGGAGGAACACCGGUGGCGAAGGCGGGUCUCUGGGCCGAUAUUGACGCUGAGGAGCGAAAGCGUGGGGAGCAAACAGG
rnacentral:rRNA from 1 species